GACGAACGCUGGCGGCGUGCCUAAUACAUGCAAGUAGAACGCUGAAGAGAGGAGCUUGCUCUUCUUGGAUGAGUUGCGAACGGGUGAGUAACGCGUAGGUAACCUGCCUUGUAGCGGGGGAUAACUAUUGGAAACGAUAGCUAAUACCGCAUAACAAUAGGUGACACAUGUCAUUUAUUUGAAAGGGGCAAUUGCUCCACUACAAGAUGGACCUGCGUUGUAUUAGCUAGUAGGUGAGGUAACGGCUCACCUAGGCGACGAUACAUAGCCGACCUGAGAGGGUGAUCGGCCACACUGGGACUGAGACGCGGCCCAGACUCCUACGGGAGGCAGCAGUAGGGAAUCUUCGGCAAUGGGGGCAACCCUGACCGAGCAACGCCGCGUGAGUGAAGAAGGUUUUCGGAUCGUAAAGCUCUGUUGUAAGUCAAGAACGAGUGUGAGAGUGGAAAGUUCACACUGUGACGGUAGCUUACCAGAAAGGGACGGCUAACUACGUG
rnacentral:rRNA from 1 species